GGAAAAACCCUCUCUGAUGGUUUCCUGGCUCAGACUUCUGCAAUUAACAGGACUUCUGCAACUAACCACCUUCUUGUCUGCCCACAUACAUGAUACUGACCUUCUUUUAUUCUCUCCUCUGUACAGAGUUACCUGACCCUCAGGAAGAUUUAGGCUUUUUUUUUUUCUCCCAUCUCACCUUGUAUAAAUAUGUCUUCUCAGUAUAGUAAUGUCAUUGGAUUGAGGAUACUUGUUUGCAGAGGAGGCAAGAAUGCGUUGUUCCGUUUUUGAAUUCCACACAUCUAAUAUGGAGCCUGAGCCACAGGGCUCAAAAUGUUAAGUAAACAAAUGAAUGGGAAAUUAAUAAGAAGAAUGCAUUGGCAAGACCGUGAAGAAGGCCUGCCAUGGGAAGCUUUGGGAAGAAGCCAGCUGCCAUGUUGUGAGAACUCUCAAGCAGCUGUGUGGAGAGAUCCAUGUGGUGAGGAACUGAAGCCUCCUACCCACCAUCAAGUCAGUGGCUCACUACUGUUGCAGUGAAUUCUCCAGCCCAUGAAGACUUUAGAUGAUUUACCCAACAUCUUGAUUAUAGCCUCAUGGAUUCCCUGAGCCAGAACAACCCAGCUAAGCCUCUCCUGAAUUCCUUACCUACAGAAACUGUG
rnacentral:lncRNA from 1 species